rnacentral:lncRNA from 1 species
UUGCCUUUUCUUAGUUGUUUCUGUCUGUCUUGUAGCUCUUUAGUCCUUUUCUUUUCUUGCUCUCUUCCUUUGUAAUUUUGUUGACUGUUUGCAGCUGUUGGAGGCCGCACAAAUGUUUCUUAUAAUGAGGCAUAAUUGAAGCCUGUCAGUAACAAUAUGAACCUGUGGUCAAUUAAGCAGCUGACCAAUCGUUACCUCCUCCUUCUUGCUCUUGUUACCCAAUAAAUAAGAAGGGUUGUGGAAGCUCAGGGGCUGCCUUUCCUCACUAGAAGCAGGGAGCUCUCUUCUUCCCCAUGCUAGCCUUUCCUUAAAAUAGUUACUUUUGUUUUCUGUUAUGAUUUCUAUGUUCGUCCGUUCAUUCAGUCUUGUAAUGACAGUCUCAAGCAGUAACAGCAGUAACUGCUGUAAUGACGGUCUCAAGUAGUAGUAGUGGCAGUCGGCCACAUUUUAUAAUUUCUAUCUCUUUGCUGAUAUUCUCAUUUUGAUUAUGUAUCAUUUUCCUGAGCUCACUGAGCACCUUAAUGUCUGUCAUUUUAAAUUUUUUCACAGAUAAUCUAUAUACUUUCACUUCUUUAUGACCAGUUUCUAGAGUUUUAGUUUGGAAUGGACCACGUUUUAUUGUUUUACCAUGCGUCUUGUAACUUUUUGUUGAAAUUCAUUCAUUUGAAAAACAACCACUUCUCCCCAUCUUUGAAGAUAGACAUCAUACAGGGAGAAGACAGAAACUGGAAGUUCCUUCUCAAUUGGACUUUACUGAGCUAGCAGGAAACAAUAUGAUUGAAAAUGAAAAUAUCUUUUGCUUCACUUCUUAUACGUAAAACUGUUAUCCAAAUCAGAAGUCUCCUCACUCUUAUCUUGAGCCAUACCUAGACCAAAAGGGUGACAUUAAGAAGAAGAGAGCACUGAACUUGGCAGGAAAAUCAGUAGGAGUAAGUGGCGGAGGCAUGGGACUGGCAGAGAUACGGCAGCCCCUGUGGAGAGGCUGUCUACAGAUAACAUAACAAUAACAACAGGAUCUGCGGGGUUCCUGCAUGCGUGUUGGCUUCACUGGAGAAACUAAUCAAGUGGUGCAGUUUGGACACAGAGACUGACACACAGGAAGAAUACCAUGUGAAGACUGGAGUUUUGCAUAGAGAAGCCAAGGAGCUACCAGAAGCUAGGAGAAUGGCCUGGAACAGACCUUUCCUUAGUGCCUUCAGAGAGAGCAUGGCGCUGCCAACAUCUUGAUCUCAGACUUCCAGCAUCCUGAAUUGUGAGAUAAAUUUCUGCUGUUUAAACCAUAUAAUUUGUGAUACUUUGCUAUGGCAACUGUCACAGCUAUUAUAAGCACCUAACCCUUUUUUUAAUCUUUUAAGAAACUUUUUGCUUUCAUCUACUUUUUUUGUUCUGGUUAUUCCAUAUUUUACUUUAAGAUUUAGUCUUCUGUCAAUAAAGCAAUAAUUUCAGAUCAAUUUCAAUAAAAAAUUAAUAAUGUCCAAACA